rnacentral:rRNA from 1 species
GUACACGCUGUGACUAGCAUAUCAAUAAGCGGAGGAAAAGAAACUAACAAGGAUUCCCCUAGUAACGGCGAGUGAAGCGGGAAGAGCUCAAAUUUGAAAUCUUAAAGGGUUUCCCUUUACGAGUUGUAGUUUAAAGAAGUGUUUUCUGUUGAGGUUUUGGUAAAAGUUCUUUGGAAUAGGACAUCAUAGAGGGUGAGAAUCCCGUAUUUGACCUUUACUUUCAACUUUGUGAUACACUUUCAAAGAGUCGGAUUGUUUGGGAAUGCAGUCCAAAAUGGGUGGUAAAUUUCAUCUAAAGCUAAAUAUUGGCGAGAGACCGAUAGCGAACAAGUACCGUGAGGGAAAGAUGAAAAGAACUUUGAAAAGAGAGUUAAACAGUACGUGAAAUUGUCAAAAGGGAAGCGUUUGACACCAGUGUUGUUUUUCUGAAAAUCAAUUAAAGAACUGUUUAUGCUAAGCUGUUUAGACUUUAUCAGCUAACUGUUUAGUUUUGAGCUUUUCUUUAAUGCACUUUUCAGUUAACAAGUCAACAUCAAUUUCUUUUGCUGUAAAAAAGCUUGAGGAAGGUGGCUUGAGAUUCGUCUUAAGUGUUUAUAGCCUCUUGCCUAUGCAGUCGGAGAGAUUGAGGUCUGCAGCGUAGAUCCUUCGGGGCUAAAUGCAUUUGUGCUAAGUUAUAGCAUUUUAUAGACAACUUGUUGACUAUGAUUUGUCUUGUAGCUUACUCGCUUAUGUUAUUUUACCUACGCUUAGGAUGUUGAGUCGUAGAGCACGCAG